rnacentral:rRNA from 1 species
AACGAACGUUGGCGGCAUGGAUUAGGCAUGCAAGUUGAGCGUACCCCAGCAAUGGGGGAGCAGCGUAAGGGGCAGUAAUGCAUAGGUACCUACCCCAGGGUCGGGCACAGCCUGUAGAAGUACAGGGUAAUUCCCGAUGACCUCGUGAGAGCAAAGUUCCGGCGCCCUGGGAGGGGCCUAUGUGAUAUUAGCUAGUUGGUGGGGUAACGGCCCACCAAGGCGAAGAUGUCUAGCGGGUGUGAGAGCACGACCCGCGCCACUGGCACUGAGACACUGGCCAGACACCUACGGGUGGCUGCAGUCGAGGAUCUUCGGCAAUGGACGCAAGUCUGACCGAGCGAUGCCGCGUGGAUGAUGAAGGCCUUCGGGUUGUAAAAUCCUGUCGAGGGGGAGAAAAGCCGAAAGGUUUGAUCUAUCCCUGGAGGAAGGACGGGCUAAGUUCGUGCCAGCAGCCGCGGUAAGACGAACCGUCCGAACGUUGUUCGGAAUCACUGGGCUUAAAGGGCGCGUAGGCGGGCCACCAAGUCCGGGGUGAAAUCCUCCAGCUUAACUGGAGAACUGCCUCGGAUACUGGAGGUCUCGAGGAUGAUAGGGGCAUGCGGAACUGUAGGUGGAGCGGUGAAAUGCGUUGAUAUCUACAGGAACUCCGGUGGCGAAGGCGGCAUGCUGGAUCAUUUCUGACGCUGAGGCGCGAAAGCCAGGGGAGCGAACGGGAUUAGAUACCCCGGUAGUCCUGGCCCUAAACGUUGGGUACUAGGUAGUAGGCUUUACAUGGGCUUACUUCCGAAGCGAAAGUGUUAAGUACCCCGCCUGGGGAGUAUGGUCGCAAGGCUGAAACUCAAAGGAAUUGACGGGGGCUCACACAAGCGGUGGAGCAUGUGGCUUAAUUCGAGGCUACGCGAAGAAC